CGGACGGGUGAGUAACGCGUGGGGAACCGUGCCUUGCACCGGGGGAUAACACUUAGAAAUAGGUGCUAAUACCGCAUAAGCGCACAGCUUCGCAUGAAGCGGUGUGAAAAACUCUGGUGGUAUACGAUGGUUCCGCGUCUGAUUAGCUAGUUGGUGGGGUAAUGGCCUACCAAGGCAACGAUCAGUAGCCGGCCUGAGAGGGUGAACGGCCACAUUGGGACUGAGACACGGCCCAAACUCCUACGGGAGGCAGCAG
rnacentral:rRNA from 1 species